rnacentral:rRNA from 1 species
CACGUAGGGGGCAAGCGUUGUCCGGAUUUAUUGGGCGUAAAGAGCUCGUAGGCGGCUUAGUAAGUCGGGUGUGAAACCUCCAGGCUCAACCUGGAGACGCCACCCGAUACUGCUGUGGCUAGAGUCCGGUAGGGGAGCGUGGAAUUCCUGGUGUAGCGGUGAAAUGCGCAGAUAUCAGGAGGAACACCAGCGGCGAAGGCGGCGCUCUGGGCCGGUACUGACGCUGAGGAGCGAAAGCGUGGGGAGCGAUCCGG